rnacentral:lncRNA from 1 species
UGAUCAUUAAGAUGGUUGGGAAGGAUCUGUUUGUUCCCCCCCCCCAGGCUCCAACACAACUUCAUUAAUCCAUUAACUGUGCUGCAGCAGGAUUAGUGACUUCACUUCAGACCUAAACAGACUCUCCCUGUGCUUGAGAAGGUCUUCUGCAUGGUUUAGCAGCCGAUUGACACGGACUCACUAAUCUUCCUGCAGGAGGAGGAAUGCCGACUGAACAGUAUCAGUUGCCCAACGUGCUCGGCGGCUCGCGGGGGCAGGAGGAGGGCGCGUCACGGCGGCGGCGGAGUGCUCUGCUCUCUGUUUGCUUAAGCAGGGAGAAGCUGGAAUGCACUGAGGUUCGAGGAGAAAGCUCGUGGACAUGCCGAUCACGGGGAAUGCAGCCUUCACAGAAAACACUUUGAGUUCACUUAACAACCCCGAGAAGCAGAGAAGAAGAUGAAGAAGAAGAAGAAGAAGAAGAAGAAGAAGAGGAGGAGGCAGCGGCACGGAUCCCAAAGACCCAGCGAGGAGUUCAAAGCCUCCAAAGUGUUUUCAUGCUAAUAUUUUCUUAAAGCAUGAAAGGGAAACACAACCACCGUAAUAAAUAAUAAAUGAACAUUAAUCAUGCAGAACUAUCUUCACAUUGUUAUAGCUUGGAGGCAGAGAAAUGCUUUAACCGGGGUUCAAAUCCCUGUCGUCCCUCUCUCCUACGUGAGGAUCAAUGCGCGCAGUCACAUGCCAGUCACACCUCUCCGGAGUGUCAGUAAUCUUUAAUAAUUAAGCCGGAGAAUCAACAGCCGGGGCGGAUCGACUUUGUCAUUUUGGGAAAAGGGGAUUAGAGGUUUUUGGGAGAGCACAAGUGCAAACAGCAGCCGGGCGGAGGGCAGACGGGUAGGAGAGGGAGAGAUAGACAGACGCACAAGUGUGUAAUCUUCCACAUCAGUGGCUCCUUCUUCUUCUACUCCUGUACUAAAGGUUACAUUUAUUCCUAUCUCCCUGCUCCUCGCCUCUCUCUCUCUCUCGUCCCCUCACUGCUCCCUCGAGG